rnacentral:rRNA from 1 species
CACGUAGGCACCAAGCGUUGUUCGGAUUCAUUGGGCGUAAAGGGUGCGUAGGCGGCGCGGUAAGUCGGGUGUGAAAUCUCGGGGCUUAACUCCGAAACUGCAUUCGAUACUGCCGUGCUUGAGGACUGGAGAGGAGACUGGAAUUUACGGUGUAGCGGUGAAAUGCGUAGAUAUCGUAAGGAAGACCAGUGGCGAAGGCGGGUCUCUGGACAGUUCCUGACGCUGAGGCACGAAGGCCAGGGGAGCAAACGGG